rnacentral:rRNA from 1 species
UACGUAGGUGGCGAGCGUUGUCCGGAUUUACUGGGCGUAAAGAGCGCGCAGGCGGUCGUUCAAGUCGCGUGUGAAAGCCCCCGGCUCAACUGGGGAGGGUCACGCGAUACUGAUCGACUCGAAGGCAGGAGAGGGUAGUGGAAUUCCCGGUGUAGUGGUGAAAUGCGUAGAUAUCGGGAGGAACACCAGUGGCGAAGGCGACUACCUGGCCUGUGCUUGACGCUGAGGCGCGAAAGCUAGGGGAGCAAACGGG